rnacentral:rRNA from 1 species
GACGAACGCUGGCGGCGUGCCUAAUACAUGCAAGUCGAACGAGAGCAACCGGUGCUUGCACUGGUCAAUCUAGUGGCGAACGGGUGAGUAACACGUGGGUAACCUGCCCAUCAGAGGGGGAUAACAUCCGGAAACGGAUGCUAAAACCGCAUAGGUCUUCGAACCGCAUGGUUUGAAGAGGAAAAGAGGCGCAAGCUUCUGCUGAUGGAUGGACCCGCGGUGCAUUAGCUAGUUGGUGAGGUAACGGCUCACCAAGGCCGUGAUGCAUAGCCGACCUGAGAGGGUGAUCGGCCACAUUGGGACUGAGACACGGCCCAAACUCCUACGGGAGGCAGCAGUAGGGAACCUUCCGCAAUGGACGCAAGUCUGACGGAGCAACGCCGCGUGAGUGAAGAAGGUUUUCGGAUCGUAAAACUCUGUUGUUAGAGAAGAACAAGUGCUAGAGUAACUGUUAGCGCCUUGACGGUAUCUAACCAGAAAGCCACGGCUAACUACGUG